UUGCUUCUCUUGAGAGCGGCGGACGGGUGAGUAAUGCCUAGGAAUCUGCCUGGUAGUGGGGGAUAACGUCCGGAAACGGACGCUAAUACCGCAUACGUCCUACGGGAGAAAGCAGGGGACCUUCGGGCCUUGCGCUAUCAGAUGAGCCUAGGUCGGAUUAGCUAGUUGGUGGGGUAAUGGCUCACCAAGGCGACGAUCCGUAACUGGUCUGAGAGGAUGAUCAGUCACACUGGAACUGAGACACGGUCCAGACUCCUACGGGAGGCAGCAGUGGGGAAUAUUGGACAAUGGGCGAAAGCCUGAUCCAGCCAUGCCGCGUGUGUGAAGAAGGUCUUCGGAUUGUAAAGCACUUUAAGUUGGGAGGAAGGGCAGUAAAUUAAUACUUUGCUGUUUUGACGUUACCGACAGAAUAAGCACCGGCUAACUCUGUGCCAGCAGCCGCGGUAAUACAGAGGGUGCAAGCGUUAAUCGGAAUUACUGGGCGUAAAGCGCGCGUAGGUGGUUCGUUAAGUUGGAUGUGAAAUCCCCGGGCUCAACCUGGGAACUGCAUUCAAAACUGACGAGCUAGAGUAUGGUAGAGGGUGGUGGAAUUUCCUGUGUAGCGGUGAAAUGCGUAGAUAUUAGGAAGGAACACCAG
rnacentral:rRNA from 1 species